rnacentral:rRNA from 1 species
GAAACCAGGAUUAGAUACCCUGUUAUACUAGAAGUUAAGAAUGGUUAGUAGUCUUGAGUAGUAGUAAUGAAUUAGUUUAAAAUUCAAAGAGUUUGGCGGUAUUUUAGUCUGGUUAGAGGAACCUGUUUUAUAAACGAUGGGCCGCGUAGUAUCUUUCUUGCUCUAGUUGUAGUUAGUAUACCUUCAUUAUUAGAUAAUUUUAUUUGUUAUAAAAAUUAUUGUAAUUAGUUUUUAUUAAGUAUAUUAGAUCUAGGUGCUGCUGAUGGGCAAGUAAAAAUGGGUUACAAUAAAUUAAAUUUAUUAUGGAUUCGUGUGUGAAAUAAUUUGUGUAUGAAAGAGGAUUUAAUAGUAAUGUGAGUUUAGCAUGCUUGUAUGAGACUAGCUCUAAAAUGUGUACAUAUCGCCCGUC